rnacentral:rRNA from 1 species
UACGUAGGGGGCAAGCGUUGUCCGGAAUCAUUGGGCGUAAAGAGCGUGUAGGCGGCCCGGUAAGUCCGCUGUGAAAGUCCAGGGCUCAACCCUGGGAUGCCGGUGGAUACUGUCGGGCUCGAGUCCGGAAGAGGAGUGUGGAAUUCCUGGUGUAGCGGUGAAAUGCGCAGAUAUCAGGAGGAACACCAAUGGCGAAGCCAGCACUCUGGGACGUGACUGACGCUGAGACGCGAAAGCGUGGGGAGCAAACAGG